ACACAACUUUUUAUCAAAAAAAUAGAUGUACGUAACUAAGACACAGAGAAAGUAGCAGAAUACAUACCAACUUAGCACUUUCUU